rnacentral:rRNA from 1 species
GAUGAACGCUGGCGGCGUGCCUAAUACAUGCAAGUCGAGCGAACAGACGAGGAGCUUGCUCCUCUGACGUUAGCGGCGGACGGGUGAGUAACACGUGGAUAACCUACCUAUAAGACUGGGAUAACUUCGGGAAACCGGAGCUAAUACCGGAUAAUAUAUUGAACCGCAUGGUUCAAUAGUGAAGGACGGUUUUGCUGUCACUUAUAGAUGGAUCCGCGCCGCAUUAGCUAGGUGGUAAGGUAACGGCUUACCAAGGCAACGAUGCGUAGCCGACCUGAGAGGGUGAUCGGCCACACUGGAACUGAGACACGGUCCAGACUCCUACGGGAGGCAGCAGUAGGGAAUCUUCCGCAAUGGGCGAAAGCCUGACGGAGCAACGCCGCGUGAGUGAUGAAGGUCUUCGGAUCGUAAAACUCUGUUAUUAGGGAAGAACAAAUGUGUAAGUAACUAUGCACGUCUUGACGGUACCUAAUCAGAAAGCCACGGCUAACUACGUG